UACGUAGGGUGCAAGCGUUAAUCGGAAUUACUGGGCGUAAAGCGUGCGCAGGCGGUUAUGUAAGACAGGUGUGAAAUCCCAGGGCUUAACCUUGGAACUGCAUUUGUGACUGCAUAGCUAGAGUACGGUAGAGGGGGAUGGAAUUCCGCGUGUAGCAGUGAAAUGCGUAGAGAUCGGGAGGAACACCCGUGGCGAAGGCGGCUCACUGGGCCGGUCCUGACGCUGAGACGCGAAGGCGUGGGGAGCGAACGGG
rnacentral:rRNA from 1 species